rnacentral:rRNA from 1 species
UACGUAGGGCGCAAGCGUUGUCCGGAAUUAUUGGGCGUAAAGAGCUCGUAGGCGGUUUGUCGCGUCUGCUGUGAAAUCCCGAGGCUCAACCUCGGGCUUGCAGUGGGUACGGGCAGACUAGAGUGCGGUAGGGGAGACUGGAAUUCCUGGUGUAGCGGUGGAAUGCGCAGAUAUCAGGAGGAACACCGGUGGCGAAGGCGGGUCUCUGGGCCGAUACUGACGCUGAGACGCGAAAGCGUGGGGAGCGAACAGG